ACUCCUACGGGAGGCAGCAGUGGGGAAUAUUGCACAAUGGGCGCAAGCCUGAUGCAGCCAUGCCGCGUGUGUGAAGAAGGCCUUCGGGUUGUAAAGCACUUUCAGUCAGGAGGAAAGGUUAACGGUUAAUACCCGUUAGCUGUGACGUUACUGACAGAAGAAGCACCGGCUAACNACCNG
rnacentral:rRNA from 1 species